AUCUAUUUAGCACAAUACUGCAUUAAAUUUAGAAUUUAAAGAUACUAA
rnacentral:tRNA from 1 species